rnacentral:rRNA from 1 species
CACGUAGGGUGCGAGCGUUGUCCGGAAUUAUUGGGCGUAAAGAGCUCGUAGGCGGCUUGUCGCGUCGACUGUGAAAACCCGCGGCUCAACCGUGUGGCUUGCAGUUGAUACGGGCAGGCUAGAGUUCGGUAGGGGAGACUGGAAUUCCUGGUGUAGCGGUGAAAUGCGCAGAUAUCAGGAGGAACACCGGUGGCGAAGGCGGGUCUCUGGGCCGAUACUGACGCUGAUGAGCGAGAGCUAGGGGAGCAAACGGG